GAAUAAAGCUGCUAUGAACAUCCUUGUGUAUGUCUUGGGUAUACAGAUGGUCCUGGCUUACAAUGAUUGGAUUUAAAAUUGUUUGACUUUAUGAUGGGCUUAUCAGGGUAUUAAAUGUGUUUCUGACUUACAGUAUUUUUGACUUACCACGUGUUUAUUGGGACGUAACCCCUUCCUAAGAUGAAGAGCAUCUGUAUACAUCCAGAAUCCUGUGGAGCAACUCAUAACCCAUGAGGAAUGGAAGCCGACAGACAGACUCAUCCCCAGGACAGGUGGUUCUCACUACAUCUCAUAAAGCUUCUUAGAAGAUCUUACAGGAUUGAGCAACCAGCCAGCCACAGCAGGGGCCAACUGGAUAACACGUCUUUGCAUAGGCUCUCCCUCUGUCCCUGUCACCCUCCCCUUUUCCUAACCUUGUUCCUUGGGAUUAUGUUUUGAAAUAAAUUAUUCAGAGAAAUGAAGCCAAAGCUGACCCAUUAGCCAAUAGCUAGGUUCUGUGAUGACAGAGCUUCUGGGCUAUAAUCGUUUACUGAGAAGCCAGCGUUCCUGAGGGGAUAAUGGCUCGUUCCAUUCAGCUGCAGCAUAGGAGUGAGGGCAGGGCAUUAGCAGAAGAUAACACCAGAAACGUGCUCUGGGGCCUGUUGAUGACUUUCUGUGCCAAGCACAGACAUUUAGCCUUUAUUCUGUAUGUGAUGGGAAGCCAGUGCCAGUGGUGGGUUUGAGCAGGGAACCAGCAACCAGUGGUGGGUUUGAGCAGGGAACCAGCAAUACUCAAGCUCUGCUUGGAUGGAGGCCAGUCAGGGAGGAGUUAGGGCAGGAGGACCAGUCAGGGAGGAGACUUAGGGCAGGAGGACCAGUCAGGGAGGAGACUUAGGGCAGGAGGACCGGACCGGUCAGGGAGGAGACUUAGGGCAGGAGGACUGGUCAGGGAGGAGUUAGGGCUGGAGGACCGGUCAGGGAGGAGUUAGGGCAGGAGGACUGGUCAGGGAGGAGUUAGGGCAGGAGGACAGGUCAGGGAGGAGUUAGGGCAGGAGGAUCGGUCAGGGAGGAGUUAGGGCAGGAGGACCGGUCAGGGAGGAGUUAGGGCAGGAGGACCGGUCAGGGAGGAGUUAGGGCAGGAGGAC
rnacentral:lncRNA from 1 species